rnacentral:rRNA from 1 species
GGCGAAAGCCUGAUCCAGCCAUGCCGCGUGUGUGAAGAAGGCUUUCGGGUUGUAAAGCACUUUCAGCGAGGAAGAAAGCCUCUGGGUUAAUACCCCAGAGGAAGGACAUCACUCGCAGAAGAAGCACCGGCUAACUCCGUGCCAGCAGCCGCGGUAAUACGGAGGGUGCGAGCGUUAAUCGGAAUUACUGGGCGUAAAGCGCGCGUAGGUGGCUUGGCACGCCGGUUGUGAAAGCCCCGGGCUCAACCUGGGAACGGCAUCCGGAACGGCCAGGCUAGAGUGCAGGAGAGGAAGGUAGAAUUCCCGGUGUAGCGGUGAAAUGCGUAGAGAUCGGGAGGAAUACCAGUGGCGAAGGCGGCCUUCUGGCCUGACACUGACACUGAGGUGCGAAAGCGUGGGUAGCAAACAGGAUUAGAUACCCUGGUAGUCCACGCCGUAAACGAUGUCGACUAGCCGUUGGGACCUUUAAGGACUUAGUGGCGCAGUUAACGCGAUAAGUCGACCGCCUGGGGAGUACGGCCGCAAGGUUAAAACUCAAAUGAAUUGACGGGGGCCCGCACAAGCGGUGGAGCAUGUGGUUUAAUUCGAUGCAACGCGAAGAACCUUACCUACCCUUGACAUCCAGAGAACUUUCCAGAGAUGGAUUGGUGCCUUCGGGAACUCUGAGACAGGUGCUGCAUGGCUGUCGUCAGCUCGUGUUGUGAAAUGUUGGGUUAAGUCCCGUAACGAGCGCAACCCUUGUCCUUAUUUGCCAGCGAUUCGGUCGGGAACUCUAAGGAGACUGCCGGUGACAAACCGGAGGAAGGUGGGGACGACGUCAAGUCAUCAUGGCCCUUACGGGUAGGGCUACACACGUGCUACAAUGCCGUACAAGGGUUGCGAGACCGCGAGGGUGGAGCGAAUCCAGAAAGCCGG